CGUAGGGGAACCUGCGGAGGGAUCAUUACCGAGUUUACAACUCCCAAACCCCUGUGAACAUACCACUUGUUGCCUCGGCGGAUCAGCCCGCUCCCGGUAAAACGGGACGGCCCGCCAGAGGACCCCUAAACUCUGUUUCUAUAUGUAACUUCUGAGUAAAACCAUAAAUAAAUCAAAACUUUCAACAACGGAUCUCUUGGUUCUGGCAUCGAUGAAGAACGCAGCAAAAUGCGAUAAGUAAUGUGAAUUGCAGAAUUCAGUGAAUCAUCGAAUCUUUGAACGCACAUUGCGCCCGCCAGUAUUCUGGCGGGCAUGCCUGUUCGAGCGUCAUUUCAACCCUCAAGCACAGCUUGGUGUUGGGACUCGCGUUAAUUCGCGUUCCUCAAAUUGAUUGGCGGUCACGUCGAGCUUCCAUAGCGUAGUAGUAAAACCCUCGUUACUGGUAAUCGUCGCGGCCACGCCGUUAAACCCCAACUUCUGAAUGUGACCUCGAUCAGAGAUGCCCA
rnacentral:misc_RNA from 1 species